UCCUCGAUUGGGCCUUCAUGUCAUGGUCAGGUCGUUAUCUGGUGUUCUCAAGCGUACAUCUUAGGAUUCCAAUAGGGAAGUGGUUAAAGAAAUUGAUUAAGGUAGAUCGUCCUAUUACAAUUCUAAAUAGAAUUGAAAACUUAAAUAAUAUCAUGCCAACCCUGUAUUAUGAAGGUUUCAAUAAGUUAGAGUGUAUAAAGUUGUAUAGGUGCCACAAUAUGUCUUGCUUAGUGGAUGAUGUUCAAACAGGUGUGAUGGGGAUGAAUGGAAAAUAGAGGAGAAGUUUUUCAAGGAACUAAAAGACCUUGAAUUGUUGUAUCUAGAUAAUUUGAAGGUGUUAUGGAAAUGCCCGGAUGAAUAUAUAAGUUUUACUAACCUAGUCACUUUUGAGAUUCAUCAUUGUGAUAAGUUAAAAAGAGUAUUCACAGUAAGCAUAGAAAAAGGGCUUGUCAAUCUCAAAAGUUUGAUAAUUAAUUCGUGUUGGAAAUUAGAGAAAGUGAUUUGGGGUGGCGAUUAUGAAUCUAGAAGUAUUAUUGUGUUCCCGUACCUUGCCAAGAUUUCCUUCAGGGGUUUAUGGUGGAUCAAAAGCUUCUACUCAGGUGGGAGUGAGAAUCAUAGCAUCAAAUAUCCAUCUUUGGUGGAAGUUGAAAUCGUUGAUUGUAAGAGCAUGGAGAUAUGGGGACCUGGAAUCCAUGAAACACCCAACCUCAAAAGCAUAAAAGUUGCAGAUGAGUUUGCUGCUGUGCAAAGAAUACAGCUGGAUGGAGCUAAUGCCAUCAAUGAUGUUGUAGCAAAAAGGCAUCAGAUACUUCGACAAGGAAGAACUUUAUAACUGGGACAACAAAUUGAAGAGGAAGAAGAUGAUAAAGAGAGGGAAGACGAUAAUCACGAUGAAGAGUGGAUAAGAAUUAAUUUGAAUAAGGUGUGUAUGAACCAUUGUAAUAACAUGAUUUUUCUGUUUGCCUUCUUUAAUCAUAGUAAGCAUUUCUGUAAGCUUGUGUGGUGAGGAUUAUGGUCCCAAAUUUGUAGACAAAUUGUUGGAAGUUUCUGGCCUGCCAAUUAUUUUUAAUUUCAUCGUUCGUGCA